CCUACGGGGGGCAGCAGUGAGGAAUAUUGGUCAAUGGACGAGAGUCUGACCCAGCCAAGCAGCGUGAAGGAUGACUGCCCUAGGGGUUGUAAACUUCUUUUAUAUGGGAAUAAAAUGUUAGACGUGUGGGCUUUUGUAUGUACCAUAUGAAUAAGGAUCGGCUAACUCCGUGCCAGCAGCGGCGGUAAUACGGAGGAUCCGAGCGUUAUCCGGAUUUAUUGGGUUUAAAGGGAGCGUAGGGGGAUUGUUAAGUCAGUUGUGAAAGUUUGGGGCUUAACCGUAAAAUUGCAGUUGAAACUGGCAGUCUAGAGUACAGUAGAGGUGGGCAGAAUUCGAGGUGUAGCGGUGAAAUGCUUAGAGAUCACGAAGAACUCCGAUUGCGAAGGCAGCUCACUGGACUUCAACUGACGCUGAGGCUCGAAAGUGUGGGUAUCAAACAGGAUUAGAUACCCUAGUAGUC
rnacentral:rRNA from 1 species